CCUGGGUAUGCUUGGUGACUGCUGGUCUGUCCUUUUUCCUUGCCUUCAUCAUCUUAGUAGUAAUUCUUUCCACUUGGUAGAGAUUUACAUUGUUAGUUGAUGUUCUCUGUUGGCUUUCCGCAUCUGUGGAAAGCUAACUCUUGUGAAGUAGUAUAGGUAAUUGGAACAAUUUUAAGGACGAUGGUAACGUGAAGGUAAUGAGGAAAUUAUGGCCCUAGAUAGGGCGGAUUGGAGGAGAAGGAUUUGAACAAAUUAUCCCAACUAGUUUGGGACCAAGAGGUAGUCGGGUAAAUUUCACCAAUUGUCCCUCAACUAACUUUGACCCUUGUAAUGUGAUUGUUCCUGAACUUCAUAUUACAACAUAAAACCUCUUGAACUUUGAUUUGGUACACAUGAAAAUCCCGCUUAACUAAGAUAGCCAGUUCACAGGUUACAAGGUGGGUAAAUUUCAUUAACUAUCUCUUAACUUUGACCUUUGUAACAACUCUAUUCAUGGACUUCAGUUUGUAACCUAAAACUCUUUGAACAUUGAUCUACUGAACAAUAAAGCCUUUAUAAUCUAUUUUUGCUAGUUUUUUAUUACGAAGCUGAUUUAGUAGGUAUCAUAGAAAAAAAAAAUGAUUCCUCUGUGUCUCUCUCAUUCUCUCACUGCAUCUGCCAUCUUACACUUCUCCCAUUACCCAACCAAGCUCAGUUUCAAUACUCCAUGAACCACAGUAUGCAUCGUGCCUGGAAUGACUUGCUCUGCUCCAACUGAGUGGUGAACAACUUGGCGAAGAAGACCAAGUUGGGAACAUAGACAUUGAAGGGGUGAAGUCAUAGAUGAUGUCACCCAGUCCCGUUAUAGGACCAAAGUUGAGGAAUGAUGUGUGAAAUUUACUUAAAGGUGGUCAAGAGGAAAAACUUAAAGAAAUUGUUACCAAAAUAGUUGUGGAAAUUUUCUAUAUAUAAUAGGACAUUCUCCCAAAAAAAAACAAAGGCAGCAUGAAAGUUCAUUGCAAAAAGCAGAUACAUAGUAUUGAAGAUAGUGGAGGUGGUGGAUUGGUGUCACACUUACAAUAAAAAGGUGAAAGUUUGGCCUACCACGAAUCUUGUCUAAGGCAGACAGAUAAUCCAUUGGAACAUUUAAUGGCGUAUCUUCAUCAUGCUAAGUUUGCAUGUGCUCAGGGCCGGAGGCAGAAGAUUAUUUUUGAGGGGGUCAACAUUAUUGAUUCAAUACAUUAUUUAAUUACACUUAUUCUCUAUAUAUUUCUUAUUCACUAUAUAUUUUGAAGGGUUAAUAUUUUAUAUUCAAAAAUACCAUAAUAGAGUGUAAUUAAGCUAUAAUUUUUUUCAAGGGUGCUAAUACUUUAGAAAUUUUUUGAAUAUCUUAAUAAAAUAAUAAUUAUUUUUUUGGGAAGGCCAAUAGCUAAAAUAAAAUAAUUUGACCUAAAAUAAAUUAAUUUUUUUCUAAAUAUAUAUAUGUAUAAAGGGAAAAUUUAAAAGGGUUGGGGGGCCCAAGGGUCCCCUAGUCCCCCCUCCCUCCGCCCCUGCAUGUGCUUUAGAACUCUUUGAAGGAUUUUCAUAUCGUUGAAUGUUCAAAGGGGACAGAUCCAUUAGGAAGAUAAUGUUGGGACAUUUGCAAUGUAGGAAUUGAAGGCUAUGUAUCCUAACCACCAUUUUUUGGUUUUGUUAAAACAUACUUUCUGAAUCCAUUGAUGCCUUCCAAAAUCCAAAGUAGCAGAUAUUGAGUCCUGAUGUGUUUACAUUGAUUAAAAUUUUUACUAACAUUUUUGUUGCAGUCGGACAAUGGGAGAUACUGGUUCUGCGGUUGCUUAUUUUGAAGAGAGCAUAGAGUUCCUCUCCAAGUUGCCUACAGAUAAUCAGGAGAUACACUUUCUGUUUCUCUUAAUAAAGUUGGAGAUCUUAAAUAUUAUGAUGGAGAUUUGAAAGCUGCUAGAUCUUACUAUUUUCGUUCUCUCAAUAUGCGUUGUAAGGCCAUUAAACAUCACUCUCAUGUUUCAUCCCAGAGGCUAGAUGUGGCUGUUUCCCUGGCAAAGAUUGCUGAUGCAGAUAGGAGCCUUGGCAACGAAGAUGCCGCACUUGAUAGAUUUCAAGAAGCCAUAAAAUUGUUGGAAUCUUUGACAUUAAAACCUGAAGAAGCUGCUCUUGAGCAAUGUCGCCUUUCAGUGCUGGAAUUUCUUAAAAAUCAGCUUUCAGAUAAACAGUCUGAUUAAACUUGCUGAAGUCGGCUCCUCUCUGGCAGUUCUUUCAGAGAAUAAACUCAAGCUAAAUAAAAUGGCCCUUUUCCUGUAUAUAUAGAAAAUGAACUUCAUUAUCAAAUAUGCGCAGUUUUAGCAAUGGUGAUUUGAUUCCCAAAAGAUCAAAAGGUUUCAGAGAAUGUUUCUGGCAGUUCUGGAUUGCUCUUGCCAUGUGUCAUUUAUAGAUAUACAUACCUCUGAUAUAGCAUUACUCAAUUAGUGCCUGUAUGAGUUUUUACUCAGCUGUUGUGCAGUGUAAGUUGCUCAACCACUUGAAGUUCAGUGUUUUUGGAUCUUGUGGUCGAUGCGUCGGAAUUUGCGAUUAUCAUUCCUUCCACUCAAUGCAAUUUUUGUUUCUUAGAGUUGUCCUUCUGUGAGCAAGGACAGCUUAAUGUAUAUGCUAUGCUAUCUUAUUAGAAACUAGAAAGCACAGAUCAUCACAGACAAACGAAGGAUAUGGUGCAGAUUCUCGCUUUUUGUUUAUCUAUUUUUUCUGGGUUGUUUUCUCCUCCUUUUCUUGCUUUCUCUUUUAUUAUAUUUUUAACUUUUUUUUUUUUAAAUUCCUAGUG
rnacentral:misc_RNA from 1 species